CAAUAGCGUAUAUUUAAGUUGUUGCAGUUAAAAAGCUCGUAGUUGGAUUUCGGGUGGGACGCAGCGGUCUCGCAUUGCGUUUGUACUGCUGCAGCCCUCCUUCUUGCCGGGGGCGGCCUCUCGGACUUCACUGUCUGGGGGUCAGAAUCGGCGAUGUUACUUUGAGUAAAUUAGAGUGUUCAAAGCAAGCUUACGUUCUGAAUAUAAUAGCAUGGGAUAACACGACAGGACUCUGGCCUAUCGUGUUGGUCUAUAGGACCAGAGUAAUGAUUAAGAGGGACAGUCGGGGGCAUUCGUAUUCCGUUGUCAGAGGUGAAAUUCUUGGAUUUACGGAAGACGAACAUCUGCGAAAGCAUUUGCCAAGGAUGUUUUCAUUGA
rnacentral:rRNA from 1 species